rnacentral:rRNA from 1 species
GACGGACUAAUACCCAAUAUAAUCCUUUGAUGGCAUCUGACGAGGAUGAAAGAUUUAUCGGUAUUGGAUGGGGAUGCGUCUGAUUAGCUUGUUGGUGAGGUAACGGCUCACCAAGGCUUCGAUCAGUAGGGGGUUCUGAGAGGAAGGUCCCCCACAUUGGAACUGAGACACGGUCCAAACUCCUACGGGAGGCAGCAGUC